rnacentral:ribozyme from 15 species
GUCCACAUCUUCGUCUUUUUUCUUUUUCUUUUUUUCUUUUUUGCUUUUCUUCUCA